rnacentral:lncRNA from 1 species
CAUGAUUAUGUUUGGUGAUGAGUGAAUUGAUAUUGGUUAUUUGAUGAGUUAUGAAUUCAUAUUAUGCUAUUUGAACAUUAUCUUCCAAUGUUAGAUUCUUUGAUACUAAUUCUUCACGUGAUAGUUCCAGCAAUUUGUAAAUCUCUCUGCUGCUGUUACUGCUAAUAAAAUGUUUAUUACUGAAAAUAUGAUUGAUUUUUCUUAUGCUUUUCCUAAUGCAUAAUUGUCUCUUUUAAAAGAAUAUCCUGGGCUUCAAAAUGGAAAAAAAGUUCCAAAUGUUCCUCUUGGAAAUGUUGUCAAGACUCAUGCCAUUCUCAUUGAUGAAUAGGUUCAAGAGGAAGGGUUUGAGGGUUGUUUAUCAUUACAAUUUCUUUUGUUCUUUUCUCUAAUAAAGAUGCUUCAGAAAAGCAUUUGAGCUUCUAUUUCUAUGAUUAGGUAAUUGCUGAUUUCUUGUCUAACGAAGAAGUUGAAGACAUAAAAGAGGUGUAUGCUAAGAUAUACACUGACAAUGAUGGUAUUGUUUCAACUGAAGAACUGAAGGUUGGAUUACAAAAUUUCAAUUCACAGCUAGCAAAGUCUGAAGUAUAAAUGCUUAUUGAAGUUGUGAGUCUACAGCCUGCCUUAUAUUGUUGGGAUAUACAAACACUUGUUUUAUUUAUAAAUAUUUUCCAUUUUUUUUUAACUGAUAAUAUAGCAUUCCAG